GGCCCGCACAAGCGGUGGAGCAUGUGGUUUAAUUCGAUGCAACGCGAAGAACCUUACCUGGUCUUGACAUAGUAAGAACUUUCCAGAGAUGGAUUGGUGCCUUCGGGAACUUACAUACAGGUGCUGCAUGGCCGUCGUCAGCUCGUGUCGUGAGAUGUUGGGUUAAGUCCCGCAACGAGCGCAACCCUUUUCCUUAUUUGCCAGCACUUUGGGUGGGAACUUUAAGGAUACUGCCAGUGACAAACUGGAGGAAGGCGGGGACGACGUCAAGUCAUCAUGGCCCUUACGACCAGGGCUACACACGUGCUACAAUGGUCGGUACAAAGGGUUGCUACCUAGCGAUAGGAUGCUAAUCUCAAAAAGCCGAUCGUAGUCCGGAUUGGAGUCUGCAACUCGACUCCAUGAAGUCGGAAUCGCUAGUAAUCGCGGAUCAGAAUGCCGCGGUGAAUACGUUCCCGGGCCUUGUACACACCGCCCGUCACACCAUGGGAGUUUGUUGCACCAGAAGUGGAUAGUCUAACUGCAAAGAGGACGUUCACCACGGUGUGGCCGAUGA
rnacentral:rRNA from 1 species